AGUGAACGCUGGCGGUAGGCCUAAUACAUGCAAGUCGAACGGCAGCACAGUAAGCUUUUGCUUUUACGGGUGGCGAGUGGCGGACGGGUGAGGCGUACAUCGGAUUCUACUUUUUCGUGGAGGAUAACGUAGGGACGCUUCCGCUAAUACCUCAUAUGUUCUACCGCUUGGAUCAAUAGAUCUUCGCGCUUUUGGUGUCUCUAUUAGCCGAUGUCGGAUUAGCUAGUUGGUUGGGUAACGGCCCACCAAGGCGACGAUGCGUAGCUGAUCUGAGAGGAUGAUCAGCCCCACUGGAACUGAGACACGGUCCAGACUCCUACGGGAGGCAGCAGUAGGGAAUAUUGGACAAUGGGCGAAAGCCUGAUCGAGCAAUACCGCGUGAGUGAUGAAGGCCUUCGGGUUGUAAAGCCCUGUUAUUAGGGAAGAAAAGCAGCAGAUUAAAACCUGGAUGUUCUGACGGUACCCAAAGAGUAAGCAACGGCUAACUUCGUG
rnacentral:rRNA from 1 species